CCUACGGGAGGCAGCAGUGAGGAAUAUUGGUCAAUGGACGAGAGUCUGAACCAGCCAAGUAGGGUGAAGGAUGACUGCCCUAUGGGUUGUAAACUUCUUUUAUAUGGGAAUAAAAUGUUCCACGUGUGGGAUUUUGUAUGUACCAUAUGAAUAAGGAUCGGCUAACUCCGUGCCAGCAGCCGCGGUAAUACGGAGGAUCCGAGCGUUAUCCGGAUUUAUUGGGUUUAAAGGGAGCGUAGGUGGAUUGUUAAGUCAGUUGUGAAAGUUUGCGGCUCAACCGUAAAAUUGCAGUUGAAACUGGCAGUCUUGAGUACAGUAGAGGUGGGCGGAAUUCGUGGUGUAGCGGUGAAAUGCUUAGAUAUCACGAAGAACUCCGAUUGCGAAGGCAGUUCACUGGACUGCAACUGACACUGAGGCUCGAAAGUGUGGGUAUCAAACAGGAUUAGAUACCCCUGUAGUC
rnacentral:rRNA from 1 species